ensembl:misc_RNA
UCCUCAGACCUUGCUUCCCUCCUCUUUUCUCACUGUAGGGAAACAGGAACUCAUGUUUAUUCAUAAGAUGGACUGGGAUCACACCCAAGGCAAUAUCAAACCUUUACCUUUUCUGGGCUUGGGAGGAUGUGCAAGGAUCAAGGACAAGCU